CGGGGUGUAGCUCAGCCCGGUAGAGUACGCGUCUGGGGGGCGCGUGGCCGCAAGUUCAAAUCUUGUCACCCCGA
rnacentral:tRNA from 1 species